AGAGGAGGCAGGGUAGCCUAGUGGUUAGAGUGUAGAGGUGGCAGGGUAGCCUAGUGGUUAGAGUGUAGAGGCAGCAGGUAGCCUAGUGGUUAGAGUGUAGAGGAGGCAGGUAGUCUAGUGGUUAGAGUGUAGAGGUGGCAGGUAGCCUAGUGGUUAGAGUGUAGAGGAGGCAGGUAGUCUAGUGGUUAGAGUGUAGAGGAGGCAGGUAGCCUAGUGGUUAGAGUGUAGAGGCAGCAGGUAGCCUAGUGGUUAGAGUGUAGAGGAGGCAGGUAGUCUAGUGGUUAGAGUGUAGAGGAGGCAGGUAGCCUAGUGGUUAGAGUGUAGAGGCAGCAGGUAGCCUAGUGGUUAGAGUGUAGAGGAGGCAGGUAGUCUAGUGGUUAGAGUGUAGAGGUGGCAGGUAGCCUAGUGGUUAGAGUGUAGAGGAGGCAGGUAGUCUAGUGGUUAGAGUGUAGAGGAGGCAGGUAGCCUAGUGGUUAGAGUGUAGAGGCAGCAGGUAGCCUAGUGGUUAGAGUGUAGAGGAGGCAGGUAGUCUAGUGGUUAGAGUGUAGAGGAGGCAGGUAGCCUAGUGGUUAGAGUGUAGAGGCAGCAGGUAGCCUAGUGGUUAGAGUGUAGAGGAGGCAGGUAGUCUAGUGGUUAGAGUGUAGAGGAGGCAGGUAGCCUAGUGGUUAGAGUGUAGAGGCAGCAGGUAGCCUAGUGGUUAGAGUGUAGAGGAGGCAGGUAGUCUAGUGGUUAGAGUGUAGAGGUGGCAGGUAGCCUAGUGGUUAGAGUGUAGAGGAGGCAGGUAGUCUAGUGGUUAGAGUGUAGAGGAGGCAGGUAGCCUAGUGGUUAGAGUGUAGAGGCAGCAGGUAGCCUAGUGGUUAGAGUGUAGAGGCAGCAGGUAGCCUAGUGGUUAGAGGUGGCAGGUAACCUAGUGGUUAGAGUGUGGGGGGGCAGGUAACCUAGUGGUUAGAGUGUAGAGGAGGCAGGUAGCCUAGUGGUUAGAGUGUAGAGGAGGCAGGUAACCUAGUGGUUAGAGUGUAGAGGAGGCAGGUAACCUAGUGGUUAGAGGGUAGAGGUGGCAGGUAACCUAGUGGUUAGAGUGUAGAGGUGGCAGGUAACCUAGUGGUUAGAGUGUAGAGGAGGGAAUGUAACCUAGUGGUUAGAGUGUAGAGGUGGCAGGUAGACUAGUGGUCAGUUAGACCAGUUAACCCACUGUUCCUAGACCAGUUAACCCAAUGUUCCUAGACCAGUUAACCCACUGUUCCUAGACCAGUUAACCCACAGUUCCUAGACCAGUUAACCCACUGUUCCUAGACCAGUUAACCCACAGUUCCUA